UACAGAGGUCUCAAGCGUUGUUCGGAUUCAUUGGGCGUAAAGGGUGCGUAGGUGGCGUGGUAAGUCGGGUGUGAAAUUUCGGAGCUUAACUCCGAAACUGCAUUCGAUACUGCUGUGCUUGAGGACUGGAGAGGAGACUGGAAUUUACGGUGUAGCAGUGAAAUGCGUAGAGAUCGUAAGGAAGACCAGUGGCGAAGGCGGGGUCUCUGGACAGUUCCUGACGCUGAGGCACGAAGGCCAGGGGGAGCAAAACGGGG
rnacentral:rRNA from 1 species